rnacentral:rRNA from 1 species
CCUACGGGUGGCAGCAGUGAGGAAUAUUGGUCAAUGGGCGGGAGCCUGAACCAGCCAAGCCGCGUGAGGGAAGAAGGUACAGCGUAUCGUAAACCUCUUAUGUCAGGGAACAAAGGCGGGGACUAGUCCCCGGAUGAGGGUACCUGAAGAAAAAGCAUCGGCUAACUCCGUGCCAGCAGCCGCGGUAAUACGGGGGAUGCGAGCGUUAUCCGGAUUUGGUGGGUUUAAAGGGUGCGCGGUGGGCCUGUUAAGUCAGCGGUAAAAGCCCGGGGUGAAACCCCGGCGAGCCGUUGAAACUGGCGGGCUGGAGUUGGUGAGAGGUACGCGGAAUGCGCGGUGUAGCAGUGAAAUGCUUAGAUAUCGCGCAGAACCCCGAUGGCGAAGGCAGCGUACCGGCUCCACACUGACGCUGAGGCACGAAAGCGUGGGUAUCGAACAGGAUUAGAUACCCCAGUAGUC